rnacentral:rRNA from 1 species
UGGGGAAUAUUGCACAAUGGGCGCAAGCCUGAUGCAGCAACGCCGCGUGAGGGACGACGGCCUUCGGGUUGUAAACCUCUUUUAGUAGGGAAGAAGCGAAAGUGACGGUACCUGCAGAAAAAGCACCGGCUAACUACGUGCCAGCAGCCGCGGUAAUACGUAGGGUGCGAGCGUUGUCCGGAAUUAUUGGGCGUAAAGAGCUCGUAGGCGGUCUGUCGCGUCUGCUGUGAAAACCCGAGGCUCAACCUCGGGCCUGCAGUGGGUACGGGCAGACUAGAGUGCGGUAGGGGAGAAUGGAAUUCCUGGUGUAGCGGUGGAAUGCGCAGAUAUCAGGAGGAACACCGAUGGCGAAGGCAGUUCUCUGGGCCGUAACUGACGCUGAGGAGCGAAAGCGUGGGGAGCGAACAGGAUUAGAUACCCUGGUAGUCCACGCCGUAAACGUUGGGCGCUAGAUGUGGGGACCAUUCCACGGUUUCCGUGUCGCAGCUAACGCAUUAAGCGCCCGCCUGGGGAGUACGGCCGCAAGGCUAAAACUCAAAUGAAUUGACGGGGUCAUAGCUGUUUCCU